rnacentral:rRNA from 1 species
CACGUAGGGCGCAAGCGUUGUCCGGAAUUAUUGGGCGUAAAGAGCUUGUAGGCGGUUUGUCGCGUCUGCUGUGAAAAUCCGGGGCUCAACCCCCGGACUUGCAGUGGGUACGGGCAGACUAGAGUGCGGUAGGGGAGAUUGGAAUUCCUGGUGUAGCGGUGGAAUGCGCAGAUAUCAGGAGGAACACCAAUGGCGAAGGCAGAUCUCUGGGCCGUAACUGACGCUGAGGAGCGAAAGCAUGGGGAGCGAACAGG